CUUCGAAGGCGCGUCAAGAUGUCUGGGCUUGUAAUUGGUUGAAAAAGGCAGCUUGACUAAGGUCUAUAAAAAUAAACACAGACUUCCUUCAUCGAACUCACCAAAGCCCCGAUGAGCAAACCUCUUUAUUCCCUUUCCCCUUCUUCCUUCGAUCCCUUGGGUCUUACAAUUCCCAGGGUUUAUCCCAACUCUCCCACCAUUUAAUUUGAAUCCCUAAUAUUCCCUCUCAAUACUUCUCUCUUAAACCCUUUAUCACUGUUCUAAACCCUAGCUAAUUUGGGUCCCUGCAAAUCUUUCUUCUUCUUUUUGUUUUUAUGGGUCUGAAUUUUGGUCGAUUGAAGCAGCGUUUCAUUUCCAAUUCUCGAAAUUACUGGGAUGGAUUCUAUUCUUCUGGGAUUGCAAACUCCGUUUUCUUUUUCCAUGCAAUUAAUUGGAACUCUACAGACUA